rnacentral:lncRNA from 1 species
GAGGCCUCGUAAGAGGAGUUGAUUUUGAUAGUUCAUCAAAAUGAAAUCAGUGUUGAAGCAAUGACCCAGUGACCUUGCAAGUGGGGUUUACAGUAGGAAAGAUGUGAACUGAAUUUGCCUCUGCUCUGCUUUUAGAGGCACAAGGGUAUGCUUUCACAUGAGUAGACAUGCUAUCUAUGCCACGCAAGCUAUGUUAGUUUGAAUUGACUCAGACUACAUGAAUCCAAACUAGUGUGCUGCAUUCAACGCCUCUGAGAUUUAUUUGGAGUAAAAGAUCUGCGUCAGUCUAUGCACCAGAGCUCUUUUUCUUUCUCUUCCUUCACUCGUCAUGCACAUUUCAAGCUCUAUGGAAAAAUCUUAUGACAAGACACUUUCAGCUCAGCCAACUACAUCCAGUAUGUCCUGUGGCCAGGAAGAAAAGGAAAUUUCUUAAACUAUAUGAAGAAGUACCAUCUCUAAAGAAGU